rnacentral:rRNA from 1 species
AGAAUCAACGCUGGCGGCGUGCCUAACACAUGCAAGUCGAACGAGAAAGGGUAGCAAUACCUGAGUAAAGUGGCGCACGGGUGAGUAACACGUGACUAACCUACCUUUUAGUGGGGGGAUAACCUAGGGAAACCUGGGCUAAUACCGCAUAAUACCUACGGGUCAAAGCAGCAAUGCGCUGGAAGAGGGGGUCGCGGCCGAUUAGCUAGUUGGCGGGGUAAUGGCCCACCAAGGCAGUGAUCGGUA